rnacentral:rRNA from 1 species
AGAGUUUGAUCCUGGCUCAGGAUGAACGCUAGCGACAGGCUUAACACAUGCAAGUCGAGGGGCAGCGGGGGAGUAGCAAUACUCCCGCCGGCGACCGGCGCACGGGUGAGUAACACGUAUGAAACCUGCCCGUAGCAGGGGGAUAAGCGGAAGAAAUUCCGUCUAAUACCGCGUAACAACCCAUGGAGGCAUCUCCGUGGGUUUAAAGGAAGCGAUUCCGGCUACGGAUGGUCAUGCGUCGCAUUAGCUUGUUGGCGGGGUAACGGCCCACCAAGGCGACGAUGCGUAGGGGUUCUGAGAGGAAGGUCCCCCACACUGGUACUGAGACACGGACCAGACUCCUACGGGAGGCAGCAGUGAGGAAUAUUGGUCAAUGGCCGCAGGGCUGAACCAGCCAAGUCGCGUGAGGGAUGACGGUCCUAUGGAUUGUAAACCUCUUUUGUCAGGGAGCAAAGGGCGCCACGUGUGGCGCUUUGCGAGUACCUGAAGAAAAAGCAUCGGCUAACUCCGUG